AGCCCACCGAAGGGGGACAUCUCGAAGAGAAGCAGCAAGACCUGGGGAUCCGGUGGUUCAUUUUGGUCGUCGCCUGUGAGGCCAGCAUGCAAGAGUAAGAGGAAGCUAGGAGCAGUCUCAAAAAGAGAUGGAACCAAGGACAGCAAAUGCUGACGAAGAGAAGAGACGGACGAGCGUUUGCUUGCGGUUAAUACCGAAGGGACGGGAUGAAACAAGGAAGCCAGAAUGCAGCGGCCCCUCGAUAUCACCAGGAACUGCUACAGGAGGAGGCGUUCUGGCACGGGUAACUAGGAUUAAUUGCCACGGCUGAAGUUGAAGAGACCAAGAAACGUAAGCCGCGAAGGGGCACAUCUUGAAGAGAGGGGGCUAGACCUAGCGAUCCAGUUGUUCGUUUUGGUCGUCGCCUGUGAGGCCAGCAUGCAAGAGUAAGAGGAAGCUAGGAGCAGUCUCAAAAAGAGAUGGAACCAAGGACAGCAAAUGCUGACGAGGAGAAGAGACGGACGAGCGUUUGCUUGCGGUUAAUACCGAAGGGACGGGAUGAAACAAGGAAGCCAGAAUGCAGCGGCCCCUCGAUAUCACCAGGAACUGCUACAGGAGGAGGCGUUCUGGCACGGGUAACUAGGGUAAGUAUGGCUAAUGACCGUUAGCAGUUAUUUCGGCCUCCCCGAGGCAGCGCUGAGGACUGAGUAACCCCUUCCUGCCCUGUGGCUGCUGUUGCCUGUAUCUGCCUUAGCUUUGCUUUGGCUGUUUCUCUUUUGUUUUGUUAUCGUACACGCAGCUACGGAAAGGAAUAGAUGUCAUACUUACUUUUUUAGAUUAAUUGCCACGGCUGAAGUUGAAGAGACCAAGAAACGUAAGCCGCGAAGGGGCACAUCUUGAAGAGAGGGGGCUAGACCUAGCGAUCCAGUUGUUCGUUUUGGUCGUCGCCUGUGAGGCCAGCAUGCAAGAGUAAGAGGAAGCUAGGAGCAGUCUCAAAAAGAGAUGGAACCAAGGACAGCAAAUGCUGACGAGGAGAAGAGACGGACGAGCGUUUGCUUGCGGUUAAUACCGAAGGGACGGGAUGAAACAAGGAAGCCAGAAUGCAGCGGCCCCUCGAUAUCACCAGGAACUGCUACAGGAGGAGGCGUUCUGGCACGGGUAACUAGGGUAAGUAUGGCUAAUGACCGUUAGCAGUUAUUUCGGCCUCCCCGAGGCAGCGCUGAGGACUGAGUAACCCCUUCCUGCCCUGUGGCUGCUGUUGCCUGUAUCUGCCUUAGCUUUGCUUUGGCUGUUUCUCUUUUGUUUUGUUAUCGUACACGCAGCUACGGAAAGGAAUAGAUGUCAUACUUACUUUUUUAGAUUAAUUGCCACGGCUGAAGUUGAAGAGACCAAGAAACGUAAGCCGCGAAGGGGCACAUCUUGAAGAGAGGGGGCUAGACCUAGCGAUCCAGUUGUUCGUUUUGGUCGUCGCCUGUGAGGCCAGCAUGCAAGAGUAAGAGGAAGCUAGGAGCAGUCUCAAAAAGAGAUGGAACCAAGGACAGCAAAUGCUGACGAGGAGAAGAGACGGACGAGCGUUUGCUUGCGGUUAAUACCGAAGGGACGGGAUGAAACAAGGAAGCCAGAAUGCAGCGGCCCCUCGAUAUCACCAGGAACUGCUACAGGAGGAGGCGUUCUGGCACGGGUAACUAGGCUCUCCGAGCUGAAUCCUAGCCCUGAAGGAAAAAGCACUGGGGGGAGGCUACUCGGACACCUGCCAUGUCGAGGGCAGGGGCAGGAGCUGACCCUUCCCCGACGGACGGAUGGACGGACAGACGCUGGUGCGGCGGUGACUCUUUGGAUAUCGUAGGUAAGGGGAGGCACGCUGGUGCCGAGCUCCAGGGCGGUUUGCCUGAACACGAUGCCUGAGGCAGGAGGUUAUGCAUUGUGUCCGGGGCUGGGAGCUGGUCCCCGAGUCCCAUGUACUUGGGAGUGCCUGCGCUUGCCAGGGAGCCCGGUGCUGUUCCCAGAGCUGCGGGGAAUUUCCCUUGCGUUGCCUGGACCCUCGGGGCUCUUGGGGGUGUUUCCCCUCAUCGCGAGGGCUGCCAGAGCCCCUCCAGGGCUGCGUGAGGUCCCCGAACCGCUCCCGGAUUUGCUUUUGGCACUCCGCAGUGUCGCUCGUGUGCCUGGGGCAGCCUGCAGGCGCCAUCCUGUCAGCCGCGUUGAGCCCUGCGGCGUGCCUGGUGAUCCCUCUGGUGUGUGCCAAGGCCCUUCCUCUGUAUUUUGGUCUGCCCCAGAGCCCUGCACUUGCCCUCUGAUGCCCUCAGGACCCCUCAGUUCACAUUCUGGGUUGCCCCCGAGCCCUCUGCGUGCCUUUCGGUGCGCCCCGUGGCCCUGUGUGUGUUUUGCGGCACGCCGCAGAGGUCUCUGUUUAGCUUUUUCUCCUGUCCUGGAGUUUUCUGGGUGCUUCUGGGUGUGCCCCAGGGCCCUCCUUUUGGUGCCCCCAGAGUCACUCUGUUUGCUCUAUCGUUGUUCUUUUUUUUUUUUUUUUUUUUUUUCUUGACUUGUGUUGCACCCAGAGCUCUCGAUUUGUUCUCUUGUGCUCCGCAUACUCCCCUUUCCGCACUCUACACCCCAGGCAGGGCUCUCCCUUCAGCUCUCAGCAAGCUGCUGUCAGGAGAGUGGGGGUGCCUCUGCUGCCCUGGCAGCCCCAGCUGUCCCUGAAGGGGCUGAUGGCCAGGCCCCCUGCCCAGUUCCUGCAGGCCCACAGCUGCGGGCCCUGGGGCUGGGAUGAGUGCCAGGGGGAGCUGGGUGGCAGGACAGGCCCCAGGUGGGGCUGAUGGCAAGGGCAGGCCCACAUUUGGGGGCUGGGGCCGCAGUUGGGGGGAGCUGGCGCUGGGGCAGGAGCUGGGCAGCGGAGCUGCCACGGAGCACGGCCCUUCGGGACCAGCCCGGCGGCCGCCCCGCGGAGGAGGUGAGCGGGGCCGGGGGAGGCGCGCUGCAGGCUGCGGGUCCCGCAUGUGCCGGGGGUCCUGGCGGCUUGGAGCGUCC